CCCUACCUGAGGGUGGGGCCGCAGGGCCCCCCCAGGAAGCGGUGCAGGUCGCCGUGCUCCAUGUACUCGGUGAUGAUGCAGAGGGGCCCCCCCGGCCCCGAGCACACCCCCAGGAGCCGCACGAUGUUGGGGUCUCGCAGGCGGCCCAGGGUGCGUGCCUCCUGCAGGAAGUCCCUCCUGCGGGCGCGGGGCAUUGCAUGGACCCGUUGCAGCGUUGCAAACCCCAUUGCACCGCUGCAAACCCCAUUGCAUUGCAUGGGGCCGUUGCACGCCCAUUGCACCGUUGCAAACCCCAUUGCACCAUUGCAAACCCCAUUGCAUUGCAUGGGGCCGUUGCACGCCCAUUGUACCAUUGCAAACCCCACUGCACCAUUGCAAACCCCAUUGCACCACUGCAAACCCCAUUGCAUUGCAUGGGGCCAUUGCACGCCCAUUGCACCAUUGCAAACCCCAUUGCACCAUUGCAAACCCCACUGCAUUGCAUGGUGCCAUUGCACGCCCAUUGUACCAUUGCAAACCCCACUGCACCAUUGCAAACCCCACUGCACCAUUGCAAACCCCACUGCACCACUGCAAACCCCCUUGCAUUGCAUGGAGACAUUGCACACCCACUACACUAUUGCAAACCCCAUUGCACCAUUGCAAACGCCAUUUCACCAUUGCAAACCCCAUUGCAUUGCAUGGUGCCAUUGCACGCCCAUUGCACCAUUGCAAACCCCACUGCACCAUUGCAAACCCCACUGCACUGCUGCAAACCCCACUGCAUUGCAUGGUGCCGUUGCACACCCAUUGCACCAUUGCAAACCCCAUUGCAUUGCAUGGGGCCGUUGCACGCCCAUUGCACCAUUGCAAACCCCACUGCACCAUUGCAAACCUCACUGCACUGCAUGGUGCAUUGCAUGGUGCCAUUGCACGCCCACUGCACCACUGCAAAACCCAUUGCAUUGCAUGGUGCCAUUGCACACCCAUUGCACCAUUGCACACCUAUUGCACCAUUGCAAACCCAAUUGCAUUGCAUGGUGCCAUUGCACACCCAUUGCAACAUUGCAAACCCCAUUGCACCGCUGCAAACCCCCUUGCAUUGCAUGGUGCCAUUGCACACCCAUUGCACCAUUGCAAACCCCAUUGCACUGCUGCAAACCCCCUUGCAUUGCAUGGUGCCGUUGCACACCCAUUGCACCACUGCAAACCCCCUUGCAUUGCCUGGUGCCAUUGCACGCCCAACUGCAAAACCCGUUGCACAUUUCCAAGACCCACUCUGCAUUUGCAAACCCCUUGCACUGCACAGGGACCAUUGCACGCCCCCCACAUUGCACGGGGGCACUGCACGUUUGCAAUGCAUUAUCCCCCCCCCCCCACUUUGCACUUUUNNNNNN
rnacentral:lncRNA from 1 species